rnacentral:sRNA from 1 species
CGAAGAAGAAGAAGAAGAAACGG